UCGGGAAUAUUGCGCAAUGGAGGGAACUCUGACGCAGUGACGCCGCGUAUAGGAAGAAGGUUUUCGGAUUGUAAACUAUUUUAGUCAGGGAAGAGAAAAGACGGUACCUGAAGAAUAAGCUCCGGCUAACUACGUGCC
rnacentral:rRNA from 1 species